rnacentral:tRNA from 1 species
GGACGCUUAGCUCAGUUGGUUAGAGCACAUCCUUCACACGGAUGGGGUCACUGGUUCGAGUCCAGUAGCGUCCACCA